AUUGCAUCCUCGUCCCCAGGCCCAAGCUCGGGCGGCCCUCACAGUGGCCCUGGGUCAGGCUGUUGAGCAGUUGAUUGUGAUUGGUUCUUUUGCUCUAAAGGAAUGUUGCGGGUGGAAAGGAAAUGCGGGUUAACAAUAAACAAUGGCUGGCUCGAAGAGUGGCAAUUCAAUAAACUUGUAUUAAAUUAUGGUAGAAAUCAGAUAUUUACAUGUAAAUUUUUGCUUAAACUAUGGUAUGGACACAUUCAAGACUUCUGGAAACAAACUACAUGGAUAUUUGAAGGAUUAAAACAUCUGAAAGUUGAAACGAAUUGAAUGAUAAAGAUAUAUAUUUUACAGUUCAAGACUCAGAUAUCAGUCACGGUCCUACUAAAGACUAUAGAAAUUUAUCUUGUGUAUGCAACGUCUACAAGAUUGUGUAAAUUCGUCUACAAGAUUAUUGUGUAAAUUGUCGCCCUCCACCUAUCUGUCUGCGUCAACGCAAGUUUAUACAUUGUAUUUGACAAUUUGAAUAGUUUAUAAAUUUAUAAUGUAAUCUACGAAAAUUUAGUAUUUAUCAAAUACUUGAUUCAGAAAGUGAAUGGCAGCAUUUUGUUCUGCUUGCACAAUCACAAUGAACAGUUCACAAUGGUCAAUGGAUCCAGUGUUGUUUGAAAACCACAAGCUCGAUUGUUAUUAACCCAAGGUGAAAAGCUGGCUUUUCACACACAAAAUAUUGAAGGGAUUUUCUAGAUGGAAUUAAAUUAUUUAUCCAAACUAUUGAACUAUUGAAGCAAAUUUAGAGAAUACAGCAUAUUAAUAAUUUAACCAGACAACCAGUUAUGUGUCAAGUCUAAAGACGGAUUUCCAGUGCUUGCAUCUAAUUAAAAUUAACAGUUCAGCAUUGUGAUUGGAUGAAAGUGCUCAUGCAUUGCAGCGAGCUGCUUUGUGAGAGGACUGGAAAUCUGCCUUAAGAAGCAUUUUAGCUACCUGUUGCUAAAGUUCAUUUAUAAACACUGUCACUGAAAUAUUUAUUAACAAAUACACCCUUCUGGAAAGUACAUUAGGGAUGGAUUUACUGGGGUGUGUGCACCCUUCUAGCCAUGGCCAGGGGGUGCUAUUUUUCAUGAUAAAGCAAAAAUUUAUUAGAGACAAAAUGAGAUUCAGUAAUUUGAGUAAUAACAUGAUGAUAAGCGAACUGUGAAC